rnacentral:rRNA from 1 species
GGACUACUGGGGUUUCUAAUCCUGUUCGCUCCCCACGCUUUCGCUCCUCAGCGUCAGUACCGGCCCAGACCACCGCCUUCGCCACUGGUGUUCCUCCUGAUAUCUGCGCAUUUCACCGCUACACCAGGAAUUCCAUGGUCCCCUACCGGACUCAAGCCAUGACAGUAUCGAAUGGCGGCCCCAGGUUAAGCCUGGGGGUUUCACAUCCGACUUAUCAAGCCGCCUACGAGCUCUUUACGCCCAAUAAAUCCGGACAACGCUUGCACCCUACGUAUUACCGCGGCUGCUGGCAC